rnacentral:rRNA from 1 species
GCUAUAUAGAGAGUCGAGCCUGCCCAGUGAAAAUUUUUAACGGCCGCGGUACUCUGACCGUGCAAAGGUAGCAUAAUCAUUUGCCUUAUAAUUGAAGGCUGGUAUGAAUGGUUUGACGAAAGCAAAUCUGUCUCCUUUUUAUUUCCUAGAAUUUGACCUUCGGGUGAAGAGGCCCGAGUAAUAUUGAAGGACAAGAAGACCCUGUCGAGCUUAAAAGGAAUUAGCAGAGGUUAAUAUAAGUAAUAAAUAAAUAAUCUGCCAAGCUUUUUAGUUGGGGCGACUAAGGAACAAAAAAAGCUUCUUGGUUACUAAAAACCAACAAGUUUAGAUCCAGCUAUAGUCUGAUUAAAGAAAUUAGCUACCGCAGGGAUAACAGCAUAAUCUCUCUUGAGAGACCUUAUCGAAAGAGGGGGUUGUGACCUCGAUGUUGGACUAGAAUAUCCUAAAGAUGCAGAAGUCUUUGAGGGUUGGUCUGUUCGACCAUUAAAAUUCU